AGUGAACGCUGGCGGUAGGCCUAACACAUGCAAGUCGAACGGCAGCACAGUAAGAGCUUGCUCUUACGGGUGGCGAGUGGCGGACGGGUGAGGAAUACAUCGGAAUCUACUUUUUCGUGGGGGAUAACGUAGGGAAACUUACGCUAAUACCGCAUACGACCUACGGGUGAAAGCAGGGGAUCUUCGGACCUUGCGCGAUUGAAUGAGCCGAUGUCGGAUUAGCUAGUUGGCGGGGUAAAGGCCCACCAAGGCGACGAUCCGUAGCUGGUCUGAGAGGAUGAUCAGCCACACUGGAACUGAGACACGGUCCAGACUCCUACGGGAGGCAGCAGUGGGGAAUAUUGGACAAUGGGCGCAAGCCUGAUCCAGCCAUACCGCGUGGGUGAAGAAGGCCUUCGGGUUGUAAAGCCCUUUUGUUGGGAAAGAAAAGCAGCAGGUUAAAACCCCGCUGUUCUGACGGUACCCAAAGAAUAAGCACCGGCUAACUUCGU
rnacentral:rRNA from 1 species